GCGGGGAUAGCUCAGUUGGGAGAGCGUUAGACUGAAGCCAAACUUCAUCAAUAAGUACAUCGUGAAGCCAUUCUUCUUCAGCGUAUGAAAUUAUAUCUAAAGGUCGUGCGUUCGAUCCGCACUCACCGCA